UGAGGAAUAUUGGACAAUGGGCGCAAGCCUGAUCCAGCCAUGCCGCGUGCAGGAAGAAGCAUCUAUGGUGCGUAAACUGCUUUUGUACGGGAAGAAACACUCCUACGUGUAGGAGCUUGACGGUACCGUAAGAAUAAGGAUCGGCUAACUCCGUGCCAGCAGCCGCGGUAAUACGGAGGAUCCAAGCGUUAUCCGGAAUCAUUGGGUUUAAAGGGUCCGUAGGCGGUUUAAUAAGCCAGUGGUGAAAGCCCAUCGCUCAACGAUGGAACGGCCAUUGAUACUGCUAGACUUGAAUUACAAGGAAGUAACUAGAAUAUGUAGUGUAGCGGUGAAAUGCUUAGAUAUUACAUGGAAUACCAAGUGCGAAGGCAGGUUACUACUUGUGGAUUGACGCUGAUGGACGAAAGCGUGGGGAGCGAACA
rnacentral:rRNA from 1 species